rnacentral:tRNA from 1 species
UCUUUCGUAGCUUAGUGGUCUAAGCAUCGGUGUGUCAAGCCAAAGGUCCCGGGUUCGAUUCCCGAUGAGAUUA